CCUGAGUAGCUGGGAUUACAGGAGUUGGCAUCCUUUGGAAGAGUUCGUGAAAGCUUUCUGCCCAGAGCUCCUGGACCAAUGCAUCUUCCCACCACCUUAAACCACUGGUGAAUAUAUGUGUUUUUUUCCUUCUUCUCAGUGAAGGGAAAUGCUUUGUUAACUGUAGAAUGCGAUUUGCAGAGAACUAUGCUGUCCUUUCUAUUAUAGAAGGAAGUAUACUGGGCUGGGCCUAGGCAUAUCUGGGUUUUGGUACUUACUUGAUUCUGCCAUUUUUACUGUGGGAUUGUAGGUGAAUUCUUUGACCUCCCAGGCCCCAGACAGAGAAACAUAUCCUGCUGUUUACAGGAUAUGUUUGCUUUGCAGACUAAAAGAGAUAAUCCAUGCAAGAAGUAAUGUAUGCACGAA
rnacentral:lncRNA from 10 species